rnacentral:rRNA from 1 species
UACGAAGGGGGCGAGCGUUGUUCGGAAUUACUGGGCGUAAAGGGCGCGUAGGCGGCCGAUCAAGUCAGAUGUGAAAGUCCUGGGCUUAACCUGGGGGACUGCAUUUGAUACUGAUUGGCUUGAAUGCAGGAGAGGAUAGCGGAAUUCCCAGUGUAGAGGUGAAAUUCGUAGAUAUCGAGAGGAACAUCGGUGGCGAAGGCGGCCUUCUGGACGGUGACUGACGGCUGAGACGCGAAAGCGUGGGGGAGCAAACAGG